AGGCCAAAGCAGGUCACGUGACUUCCGCUGCAUUGAAAAAAGUCAGCUAAAAGCUAAGUGUACUGUGGCGUAUGUAUUGUUAAACAAGAUUUCGUAAAUCACAAAAAUACUGUACGCGACGCCCAUUGCUGAAAUUAACGCCUGUUGGAAGCUACGACACUUACGGCACCGCAACCUCGCCCUGGCAAAUGGCGACGUCCUAGGAUGACCACUGCUGAUCGAGCUACCGAGCGUCGGUGGAGCGCCCCAGCCUGCAGAAAGCGAAAUGCGCAUGUCAUGGUGGUGCUGCUGCGUCAAGUUUUGCCAGCAAAUGACCUUCUGCAAGUGUCGCUGACAGAAUGUUCAUCUUGUUUUUUUAUCUAUAUUGCAAUAAAUAGCUUUUGAGCAAGAUCUUUAUUUU
rnacentral:lncRNA from 1 species